GUCCACGCCCUAAACGAUGUCGACUAGCCGUUGGAGACCUCGGUCUUUGGUGGCGCAGCUAACGCGUGAAGUCGACCGCCUGGGGGAGUACGGUCGCAAGAUUAAAAACUCAAAAGGAAUUGACGGGGGCCCGCACAAGCGGUGGAUGAUGUGGAUUAAUUCGAUGCAACGCGAAAAACCUUACCUACCCUUGACAUGCCAGGAACCUCCCGGAGAUGGGAGGUGCCCGAAAGGGAACCUGGGCACAGGUGCUGCAUGGCUGUCGU
rnacentral:rRNA from 1 species